GAUGAACGCUGACAGAAUGCUUAACACAUGCAAGUCUUUGGCGAAGCUGUGCUUGCACAGCCUAGCCAAGGCGGACGGGUGAGUAACGCGUAAGGAACUUGCCCUGCAGUCAGGGAUAACAGACGGAAACGACUGAUAAGACCUGGUAAAGUCAGGCGGACUCAUGUCCAGCCUGAUGAAAAGAGAUGCUGCAGGAGAGCCUUGCGUCCUAUUAGCUUGUUGGUGGGGUAACGGCCCACCAAGGCGAUGAUAGGUAGCCGGCCUGAGAGGGUGGACGGCCACAAGGGGAAUGAGAUACGGCCCUUACUCCUACGGGAGGCAGCAGUGGGGAAUAUUGGACAAUGGGGGCAACCCUGAUCCAGCAAUUCUGUGUGCACGAUGAAGGUUUUCGGAGUGUAAAGUGCUUUCAGCAGGGAAGAAAAAAAUGACGGUACCUGCAGAAGAAGCGACGGCUAAAUACGUG
rnacentral:rRNA from 1 species